GCAAAUCCUUCAUUAAGCGAAAAUCAGGUGGUUUCUCUUCGACAAUCCCCCAUUAAACCCAAAAAUCACGCGUUUUCUCAUCAAGAAUCUCCCAUUUAAGAGAAAAUCAUGCUUUUUCUCUUUGAUAAUCACCCAUUUAAGAGAAAAUCACGCGGUUUCUACUUGGAAAUCCGCCAUUUAACAGUAAAUCACGCGUUUUUUCUUCGGAAAUUCCCCAUUUAAGCAAAAAUCACGCGUUUUCUCUUCGACAAUCCCCCAUUUAACCAAAAAAAUCACGCAUUUUCUCUUCACAAAUCCCCCAUUUAAACCCGAAAAUCACGCGUUUUCUCUUCGAGAAUCCCCCAUUUUAGUGAAAAUCACGCGUUUUCUCUUCAAGAAUCCCCAUUUAACCCGAAAAUCACGCGUUUUCUCUUCAAGAAUCCCCCAUUUAACCCGAAAAUCACGCGUUUUCUCUUCAAGAACCCCCCAUUUAACCCAAAAAUCACGUUUUCUUUUUGAGAAUCCCCCAUUUAAGCAGAAAUCACACGCUUCCUCUUUGCAAAUCCUUCAUUUAAGCGAAAAUCUGGUGGUUACUCUUCGAGAAUCCCCCAUUUGACCCGAAAAUCACACGUUUUCUAUUCGGAAAUCUAUGUUUAACCCGAAAAAUCACGCGGUCUUUCUUUGCAAAUCCCCAUUUAAGCAAAAAUCAAGCAUUUUCUCAUCGGAAACCCCCAUUUAAGCGAAAAUCACGCGAUUUCUCUUCGAGAAUCCCCCAUUUAGACCGAAAAUCAUGCGUUUUCUCUUCGAGAAACCCUAUUAACCUGAAAAUCACACGUUUUCUAUUCGGAAAUCUAUUGUUUAACCCGAAAAUCAUGCGAUUUCUCAUUAAGAAGCUCCCAUUUAAGCGAAAAUCAUGUGCUUUCUCCUCGAGACUCCCCCAUUUAACCCGAAAAUCACACGUUUUCUCUUUGAGAAUCCCCCAUUUAAGGAAAAUCAUGCGUUUCUCUUUGCAAAUCCCCAUUUAAGUGAAAAUCCACGUAUCUCUUCGCAAAUUCUUCAUUUAAGCAAAAAUCAGGUGGUUUCUCUUCGAGAAUCCCAAAUUUAAGUGAAAAUCACGUUUUCUCUUUGAA
rnacentral:lncRNA from 7 species